UGGUGUUGAUUGCGGUGAGGGUCCACCCGUUCCCAUCCCGAACACGGAAGUUAAGCUCACUUGCGCCGAAAAUACUUGUCUGGAGACGGACCGGGAAGAUAGGUAACGCCGACACA
rnacentral:rRNA from 1 species